rnacentral:rRNA from 1 species
GAUGAACGCUGGCGGCGUGCCUAAUACAUGCAAGUCGAGCGAACAGAUCCGGCGCUUGCUCCUCUGACGUUUGCGGCGGACGGGUGAGUCACACGUGUAUCCCCUCCCUAUCAGACUGGGAUCACUUCGGGAAACCGGCUCUAAUACCGGAUAAUCUCUUGAACCGCAUUGUUCAAUAGUGAAAGUCGGUUUUUCUGUCAGUUAUAGAUGGAUCCGCGCCGGAUUGGCUGGUUGGUACGGUCACGGCUUACCAAGGCGACGAUGCGUAGCCGACGGAACAGGGUGAUAGGCGACCUGGGAAGUGAGACAGGGACCAGAGUCCUAAGGUACGCAGCAGUAGGGAAUCGUCCGCAAUGGGCGAAAGUCUUACGGAGCAACGCGGCGUGAGUGAUGAAAGUCCUCGGAGCGUAAAGCCGUGUUAUUAGGGGAGAACAAAUGUGGAAGGAACUAUGCACGUAGUGACGGUACCGAAUCAGAAAGCCACGGCUAACUACGUG